rnacentral:rRNA from 1 species
UACGGAGGAUGCGAGCGUUAUCCGGAUUUAUUGGGUUUAAAGGGUGCGUAGGCGGGAUGCCAAGUCAGAGGUAAAAAUGCGGUGCUCAACGCCGUCGAGCCGUUGAAACUGGCGUUCUUGAGUGGGCGAGAAGUAUGCGGAAUGCGUGGUGUAGCGGUGAAAUGCAUAGAUAUCACGCAGAACUCCGAUUGCGAAGGCAGCAUACCGGCGCCCUACUAACGCUGAGGCACGAAAGCGUGGGUAUCGAACAGG